CGCCCCUGCACACGCCGCCUGCGCCCUCCGCCGCCCGCAGGGAGCCCUCGGUGCACGCCCCGGCGCGGGAGCGGGAGCGGGAGCGGGAGCCGCAGCCGGAGCCGGAGCCGGAGCCGGAGAGCGCGCAGGGCCGCGGGCAGCGUCGACGCGCACAAGCCCCGCUCGCCCGCGAACAAACUUUUCCGCCUCCUCCCCUCGGCGCUGCGCGAAGCCCCGGCGCGGCGGGCCGGGGGGCGGGGCGGGGCCGGGGCGGGCCGGGGGGCGGGGCCGGGGCGGGGCAGGGGCGGGGCCGGGGUCGCCCCGCCCCCGGGGAGGCCGGGCUCGGAGCCCCGGCGGCCGCGCAGGGGGGAGCGGAGCCGAGCGCGGCCGCCCCGAGGGUCCCGUCCCCGCCCCCCGGGCCGCCGUCGCCGCCGCCGCCGCGUCCUGGGAAGCCGACAGCAGACGCAGCUAAGCGAGGAGGCGGGUGUGCGCGCAGCCGGGCCCGUCCUGGGGCGGCCUUCGGGGUGGGAGGCGCGGGGCGCGCGGGAGGCAAGUCCAGUGAGCGCUGCUAUCGGGGAGCCUUUGAAUUCCAAAUUAAAAAGAAAAAGAAAAUCAGACGUGAUCCUACCCUCCACAGAUGAAACAGUGGUUUCAGUGAAAGUUCUAACAUGCUUACUGGUCUUUUUUUUUUUUUGGCCAUAUAUAUCAGCUCAAGAAAUAAAAACAAUUAAAGGUGAUCGGGGCCACAGCAGAUUGGAAACCCCAGAGUUCAUCAGUGAACACCCUGCUCCUCCAGGAUCAAGCACAUCUCCUCUCUGGUUAUUUGCCUUGCAUGGAGAACUGCAUGGACCCCUGAACUGGAAGAACUGGGCUGGUGAACAGAGGACAGAUCAGGGUGGGUAUUCAGGAUUAAGAUGGUGAGCUCUGCAAGGGAAACUGGAAUGUAAAGUCUUCAUGGUAAAAAAUAAACUGGUCUUCAUGAGGAGCCUUCAAGAACAUCAUUUUUUAAGGAUUACCAAACCCAAUAUGGGUGGCCACCUAUUAAUGUGUCAGAUCCUUUCUGGGAAUUUUGGAAAUAAGAUGAAGAAUAGAGUUUGCUCUUCAGGAGACGUGAAAAUUGUUAGUGGAACAGAAUACAGAAGAUUGAUACAUACAGAAAAGUGAUACAUACAGGUGCGAAAUUUUAACCUGAUUCUGAAUAUAUAAAUAUAUGUCUUAAUCAGCAGGAGCCCAUGGUAAUAGUCAGUAAUCAUAAAUAAAAUAAAGUAAGAAGAACACUUCUAAUAUCUUAAUUUCAAAACACCUUGGUUAUUCAAGUGCCUAUUGACAUAACACUUCUGAAAAUUGGCCACUGAUUCGGAGGACUGGGACUGAGUGGGUGUUGGGUUUCUGUGUGGCAUGGGGACCAAAUGACAGAGAACUGAUACCCAGCUACCAAUUCUCUACUUUCCACUGGCAAGAGAAAUAUACAAUGACACACUUGUGGCCAGAGUGAAUGUCACUAUUAAGAGAAAGUAUAGCAUUAGCAGUAGGCUUGUACAUUAAAAAAACAAACAGACCUUUUUUUAAAGGUUCAUGGCGCUUCUCUGUAUUCUGGGUUUGUAUGGAUUCUUGUCUCUAGUAAAGAUGUCCAGUUACCUGAAAAUGGGGAAUUCAGGAAGUUGGCUUCUUGAAGACCCUUUUCGUUCUCUGAUUUUAGAAUUUAAAAUCCAUUUUCAUUCCAUUCCUAUCCCAUGUUUACUGUGUAACACCUUAUGAUUGAGAAUUUAAAACGAAAGGUUAGAAAAUGGGUUUUCAUUAGUGAUCUACAAUGAAGUGUAGUGAUUUUUGGUGAAGAGGGGAGGUAGACAUGUACAUAAUAAAAUACAGUAUCAUGCAGAAGAAAAGUAUGAUUUGGAGAGCAAAUAUACAUACUACUUGGUAGAAAUAUAAAAGAGGAAGACACUAGAGGAUGCUCUUCCAAAAAGAAGUAUUUGGAAUUGCAUCCUGGAGACCAAAUCUCUGUGCUACCAGAAUUGUGAGCCUCAUGUUUAGUUCCUAGGUAGAACCCUUAAGUAGUUCAAUCAUUUACUGAUUACAUGGGAUAGAAUAUUUCUUCAGGAGAGAAAACUGGUUGAAUUAUCUGAUUUUGCUUAAUCCUGUAAUCUCCUGGAUUUCUUCCAGAAACAGAAUUAGAUGGUAUAUUUGCCGACAUGCUUAUUCUUGCUGCCUUGUUUCCUAUUUACCUUUUCCAAGCUGAAAGUAUAUUCAAUUAAGCUAUGUUACACCAUUGAAUCAUUGGCAGUUAGGUCUUGGACGGUGCAUAGUUUGUUUUAACAACCAGUUUUUGAGGCCAGGCCAUUACACCAGGCCAGCACAGACAUGCUUCUCAUUAGCCCAUCUAUUUUAAAGGGAAACUCACUGUGUGCUGAGCUAACUGGAUGCUACUCACUGAAGUUUGUAGCAAAAUCAUCUGAAAACGGCCUGAAGGGAUCUCACUUUGGAUUUUAUUAAAGUUCAUCAAUGAUAUAUUUUGCAGAUACAUAAAAAUAGAUUAGCAAUCAUAAAAGAAUGACUCAUGUUUAUUAUUACCUUGAAGAAUAAUUGCAUAAGACUCAAAAUUAAACAUUGCUAAAACUCAGUGAAGUUGAGAACUACUUCCUCUGUCAAGCACAGCAAAAAUAGAUUUGGGGGGAGAAUGCCACAUUAUACCUAUUAGCUGAGCUAUUAUCACAUAAAAUUUUGUUGAUGAUUUUAAGGAAAUGAGAGUCAAUACGAAUCCAGAAAAAACCGAUCAUGUUACGUAAUUUUUGUCCUUUGGGGCUAAAACCACUUGCUGUAUUGUUCAUUGUCUUGCAGAAGUUGCCCAAGUAUUUAUGGACAACAAAGUUGGAUCCCCUGUAGGAAAACAAAAUAAAGAGUAAACGUCUUCUUAUCUGUUUGUAGUUAUUAUGUGCAGAGUUGUGUCCUCUCCCCAAAUUCAUAUGUUGAUGUCCUGACUUACAGUGCCUCAGACUGUGACUGUAUUUAGACAUAGGGAUUUUACAUAGAUAAGAUUAAAAUGAAGCCCUUAGGGUAGGCCCAAAGGAAGAUGACUGACCCUAAUCAAUUAAGAAGUGGGAAUUUGGAUACAGGUACAUACCCAGGGAGAUGAUAAGAAGACAUAUGGAAAAAAGAUGGCCGUCAGCAAGCCAAGGAGAGGAUCCUGGAAGGGGUCUUCCCCUCAAAGCCCUCAGAAGAAACCAGCCUGGGUGAUGUCUUGACCUCAGACUUCCAGCCUCCACAACUGUGACAGAGUAGAUUUCUGUUUUUGAAGCCGCCCAGUUUAUUCUACUUUGCUACAACAGACCUAGCAAAUGAAUACAGUAAGAAUACCUGAAAAUUAGCUUCCAUUAACCAAUCGAAUGCUCCCUGUCUUUUGAAAGCCUGUUCAGGCUCUGCCCACUGCUAAUGUUUGCAGGACCAGACGAAAGAGAACAUAUGGAGGCCCCUAUAUCCCUUAAGAAAAAUCAAAUAUUAAUUAAUUGAUCAAAUCAUUCCUUUUUAGCAAGAAUAAAAUAGAUUGUUGCAUGAUAAAGUAUUGUUUCACAGUAAUUUAAAUAUUUAACAAUUAUAAAUCUAGGUAACAAACUGUCAAAUACAAAUGUUUUAUCCUUUUGCAUCGACAUAGCUUUUAAUGAUAAUAAUUUAAAGAUAUAUUUCAGCUAUGGCUUUAAUAUAACUGGAAGUAACCAAACUGUCAGACAAAUGAAUUAAAUUAUUAUUGUACAGAUACAGAUGUUCUGUUGAUGAGCUGACGAAGUUUGGGGUAAUAAAGACCUAUGAAAUUUGUAAGUUAUAUAUUUAUUGUAUCAAAUUUAUUUUUGUCUUCAUUUCAGCAAAACCAC
rnacentral:lncRNA from 1 species